rnacentral:rRNA from 1 species
UACGUAGGUGGCAAGCGUUGUCCGGAAUUAUUGGGCGUAAAGCGCGCGCAGGCGGUCUUUUAAGUCUGAUGUGAAAGCCCACGGCUCAACCGUGGAGGGUCAUUGGAAACUGGGAGACUUGAGUGCAGAAGAGAAGAGUGGAAUUCCACGUGUAGCGGUGAAAUGCGUAGAGAUGUGGAGGAACACCAGUGGCGAAGGCGACUCUUUGGUCUGUAACUGACGCUGAGGCGCGAAAGCGUGGGGAGCAAACGGG